UGCAUAAAUCAAAUAUGCAAAUUUUUAAAAAAUUUUGAAAAUCAUUUGAUAUUUCAUGUUAUUAAUUCAAAUUAACAGAUAAUUAUAAAAACAUAUCAUUCGUCAAUUUGAAUUAAUGAAACGAAGUAUCAAAUGAUAUUCAAUUUUUUAAAAAUUUGCAGAUUUGAUCUAUGCA
rnacentral:miRNA from 1 species